GAGUUUGAUCCUGGCUCAGGACGAACGCUGGCGGCGUGCUUAACACAUGCAAGUCGAACGAUGAACCGCUUUCGGGCGGGGAUUAGUGGCGAACGGGUGAGUAACACGUGGGCAAUCUGCCCUGCACUCUGGGACAAGCCCUGGAAACGGGGUCUAAUACCGGAUAUGACUGUCCAUCGCAUGGUGGAUGGUGUAAAGCUCCGGCGGUGCAGGAUGAGCCCGCGGCCUAUCAGCUUGUUGGUGAGGUAGUGGCUCACCAAGGCGACGACGGGUAGCCGGCCUGAGAGGGCGACCGGCCACACUGGGACUGAGACACGGCCCAGACUCCUACGGGAGGCAGCAGUGGGGAAUAUUGCACAAUGGGCGAAAGCCUGAUGCAGCGACGCCGCGUGGGGGAUGACGGCCUUCGGGUUGUAAACCUCUUUCAGCAGGGAAGAAGCGAAAGUGACGGUACCUGCAGAAGAAGCGCCGGCUAACUACGUGCCAGCAGCCGCGGUAAUACGUAGGGCGCAAGCGUUGUCCGGAAUUAUUGGGCGUAAAGAGCUCGUAGGCGGCUUGUCACGUCGGUUGUGAAAGCCCGGGGCUUAACCCCGGGUCUGCAGUCGAUACGGGCAGGCUAGAGUUCGGUAGGGGAGAUCGGAAUUCCUGGUGUAGCGGUGAAAUGCGCAGAUAUCAGAGGAACACCGGUGGCGAAGGCGGAUCUCUGGGCCGAUACUGACGCUGAGGAGCGAAAGCGUGGGGAGCGAACAGGAUUAGAUACCCUGGUAGUCCACGCCGUAAACGGUGGGCACUAGUGUGGGGCAACAUUCCACGUUGUCCGUGCCGCAGCUAACGCAUUAAGUGGCCCCGCCUGGGGAAGUACCGGCCGCA
rnacentral:rRNA from 1 species